UCGGCUAUUGUUGCAUUUACUGGGUUGCACGCUUUGGUACACAUAAAUGGCUUGUGGAGUUCAUUUGGGGAUUUUCCUUAUUUGCUUAGUUCAAGCAGAGCAUGUACGCUGUUUAUGGGCUACACAAGCUCAGAGCUUCAAGAGACAAAACGGCAACGUGUAU